GGGGCGGGUCGGAUACAUAUGGUUCGGGGUGGGUACGAGACGGGUCUUAAAAUUGUAAAACACAAACGGGACGGGCCGGGACGGGUUCAAGAAAUUAACUGGGCCGGGCGGGUCCAAAAGGCCCAAGAAACAGGACCCUGGCCAGACCCGUUUCUCCCAAGCCCACUCAAUUUUCUGGUCCAAAAGUCCAAGUAUUGCGUUGGUUUUGUGCAGUACAUUAGUACUUGUACUACAUUUCACUUAUUUCUUUCACUCAUUUCAUCCUUUUUUUUUUUUUACUGUUUCUUUCUUUAUUUUUGUUUUAUGUUUUUCACUCAUUUCACUUUUUUUUUUUCCCACUCAGACCCUCUUUUUCUCCAUCCCAAGAGACCCACGAUCCCAAACUCCAUUAAGGACAAGAAGAUUGAGGACUCAAUCGAGAGACUGCCAUCCAGUGGUUGGACAACAACUAGUUAUCGGAUGUCAAUGAGUUCGAAGACAAGACAGAAUUGGAGAGCAUCUGCAACCCAAUCACAAGAACCUUUUGGUCGAUGAGUAGGAAGUGGAAAUCACAAGGGAAUUGAUUGAAAUUGCUUAGAUUCAGAAACCCUAAGAUCUUGCGGUGGUUGUUUUGAUGGAACCGCUGAUAACGAUGUUGUUCGAAGAAGCGAAUCUUCGAAUGAGGAGAACAAAGAGGAAAGAUCGCCAGACUUGAGGCGUGAGUGAAAGAUUCGGACUCGUGAGGAUCCGUAAAAACUAGCCCAUUUCAAAAGGGCCGAGUUAGGUUCGGAUCCUAUUUUGAAAAAUCCAAAACCCACACUACCCGUCCCGUUGUAUUUACAAACAGAUCCAGUCUAGUUCCUUCAAUUUUAGGUUCGGCUUGGGCAGCCCGUGCCCAUCCCUACUUUCGACAGAUGAAUUUUAUUAGAGGUGGAAUUGACGUCCAAUAUCACAGGUGUUUUCUGACAGCAUAACCCAAUUACGUCAAAUCCAUUAAUUUGAUUAUUUAAUAAAUGGCUCCCACAGUACACCAAUCACGAACCCCACCCAACCAAUUUACACAAUUUUUGUAACAGUAGGUCCCACAAUAUAUAAUAAAAAAGAAAUUUGACUCA